AAUAAAUGGAAAAAUAAAACCAAAACAAUGGGACAAGGCGUUUGUCGCAAGAGCAAAGAAAACAAUUACAACAACGACAACAACACGAACAAUGCUAAUAAAACAUUUUUUAUUAUCUUCUUUGGCAAAGAAACACGAUCGCAAGCGAGGUUUGAUGUAGUCUCCAAUGUUUGAAUGAACUUGGUUGGGCCAAGACUUUAUUUUGAGUCUGGAGUCUUGAGGAUCGGAUAAACUUUUCGAGAACGAAGGUUUACAGUUUUCUUUCCUUAAAAAAAAAUCAUUUAUCAAAACCGUUGCAGAGUCGGGAAAAAAUCCCAGCUGUGAACAAUUAUCGCCAACGGACAACAAAUCAUUCUCAAAGAAAAAUCAAGAAAACCCCAAUGAAUCUCAGCUUUAAGCAAUUAAGACAGAAAGUGAAAUAAACGAUGAUGAUGAUGAUGAGGAUGGAAUAAAACAACAGAUAAAAUAAAAACACAACAAAGAAAACAAGUGCCAUAGUGAAAAUGAAAACAAAAUGCAUUUUCAUUAUUUCCAUUUCAAGCCGACCGCACGUAAUGCCUCAGUGGAAGUAGAAGUGGAGUAGUGAGUGAAUGAAUCUUGUGGAUGCAAUAUUUCAAAAUAACCACAACAGAUUUUGCGAUUUAUAACCACAAAAAUCCACAACAUAUGUGAAUCAAAAAAAAAAAAAAAAAAAAAAAAAGAGAAAAGAAAAAAAGUUCUGUGAAAUUAAAAAAAAUAAAUAAAAAUAAAUAUUUCAAUGCUCAUGACUAAGGCAUGAUCAGCGAAGCGCUACGCCACAGAUCUUGAAAGAGAAAAAAUUGAAAUUAAUUCGAAUAUUGUACAAAUCCAUCAACCCACUACUCAGAGCCAUAGUAUUUAUGGUUGCAUUUAAUACUUUAAUUAAUGGCAAAUGUUUUUUUUUUUUUGUUAUUCGCUUAAUUAAAUUAAUCACCAAAAACGCGAAAAGAAAAAGAUCGGUGUUGGAAAAAAAGUGAAAUUUUUGCGGCAUGAAAAAUCGCUAGAAACGCAUUCGCAAUACCAAUUAGAAAAAUCAAUGUGCCGCCUUGUGUGAAAAACGCCUCCGCCGCCACCACCAAUUGGAAAUUGUAAUCGAGCUGUAGCCAAGGAAGAGUGUUUGGUGAUCGGCGUGUGAUUUCCAACUGCUGCUGCUACUACUGCUGCUGGUGGUGUCUAUUUACGUUCUGUGAUUUAUUUACAGCACUUCAUGACGUUUCCACUUUUGCACCCGCUUUUGUUUUGAUUCGACGGUGGCAAUAAUAACCGAAAAAAAAAAACAACAACGACUAACGAAAUAAAAUAGCGGCAAAUUUCUAUGCUUUACGGCUAAAUGAUAAUAACAAGAGAAUUUUGUUGCUGUCGCUGUUUUGAUGACGCUUUUGACAAGUUAAAAUAAUGAUCAAUGUCGCAUAAGAUUAAGCCGAGCGCAAUUUACGACAAUCAAAAGAGGAGAAAAAAAAAUUAACACACGUUCAAAUACCCGCAGAAAAGUAGUUGGGAUUCUACUUUAAUAAAGACCAAGCGAAAGCGCAAGAGAGAAUAGAACAGAAGUCUCAUUACGACGUAGGCACAGCGAAGCGGCGUUAACAUUCAACCACCCAGUUGUUUUUUGGAUAACUACCCAGCCGACUUGUGUGGUGGUAGUGGUGGUGGUGGGGGUUAAUCAUUCAUUAUCAGCAACAUCAUCGGAUUCAACUGACUCAUUUAACUACGUUGGGUUUUUAUUGCUCUCUUGCCUGGCUGGCUGGCUCUCCAACUCAUUGUUGCUGUGUCUCAUUGGUGAUGAUGACGAUGAGGCUCUUCAUAUAAAAUUUCCUGACAUUAAUGUAGAGAACUUUAGUCUAACGACAACAAACGACCCUGCGACAACGCCACAUCGAACUAGUAUUACACGCACACGAACGUCGUUACGCCGCGCAUUGCUACCAAAUUCGAGCGGAGGAGCUGGGACGAGAUCAAUUUUUUUCCAGAGACCAAACACACACUCAUUGCUAUUGAGAAAUCCCUCAAAAUGUGGUUUUAAGCUGAAUACAAAUUAGUUUGCAAAAAAAAAAAAAAUCGAAAAUCGCAAAAAUCAUGAUCAAUCACUAACCGGAGUUCGUGGGAAUUAAAGUUGCGGAAUUUGGAGCAGUGGAUAUAAAUAAAACAAAAUAAAAAAAAUAAUU